GAUUGGUUGUAUUGGAGCUCAGAGCUUGCAGGUGGGAGUAAGCUUCUCUUGAAACAAGGGAAAGGUCAAUCCUGGGACUGGGAGGGGUUGAAAGGCCAGUCUUGGUCAGCUGUGAGCAAAAGAACUUCCUCCUCUCUCUAGGCUGAGGGGUAGAAAUUGGGCCAGUAUCUCCACACCCCGACAACUUCCAAAUGCCGCUCUGGCCACAGGGAGGCAGGAAGUAUCCCUGGUGUGGGACAGUCCUGGGAGGGUCCCAGGAUGGCUCUGGGCCUAUUUUGUGCUUACAAAUUAUUCUCCAUACUCUUCUUCCUUCCAUUAUCCGUAGACUUCCCCCUCAAACCCCGAAACGGAGUCUCACUCUGUUGCCCAGGCUGGAGUGCAGUGCCGUGGUCUCGACUCACUGCAACCUCCGCCUCCCAGGUUCAAGCGAUUCUUGUGCAAUAGCCUCUGAGUAGCUGGAAUUACAGGAGUGCACAACCACUCCCGGCUAUUGUUUGUAUUUUUAAUAGAGGCAGGGUUUCACCACGUUGGCCAGGCUUGUCUCAAUCUCCCAACCUCAGGUGAUCUGCCCAACUCCUCGGCCUCGCAAAGUGCUGAGACUGUAGGCGUGAGCCACCGCGCUGGGCCUAUCCUCAGGCUUUUACUAAAGACACUUAAAGGUUACAGCCUGGUCUUUCUUAUUUGAGUUAGUUUCCAAUGACUGCUGAACAGAUUCACAAACUUGUCUUAACACAACAGAAAUUUGUUAUCUCGCAGUGCUGGAGGCCAAAAGCUAAAAUCAAGAUGUCGGCAGGACUGUGCUUAUUACAACGGCUUGGGGAGAAUCCUUCUUUCUGUCUCCCGCUUUAGGCCCCUGUGUUCUUGGCUUGUGGCAGCAUCACUCUACGCUGUCUGUCUCCACGUGGCCUUGCCUCCGUGCCUGUUUUCCCUCUUCUUCUCCUAUGUGAACACCGUCACUGGAAUUAGAGUGCACCCUGGUAAUCUAGGAUGAUCUCAUCUUGAGAUGCUUAAUUUCAUUACUUUGCAAGGAUCCUAUUUCCAAAGGUCACACUCACAGAUUCCAGUCGGACAUGAUUUUUUUUGAGGCAGGUCCAUUCAACGUGCUAUCAUUGUGGUGUGGGAAAUUCAAGACAGAAACUGCACCACCUUGGAGACAAACUGGACUAGUGGAGAGCAGUGUUCCUUCCCCUACAGCCAGAGCUGGGGGAACAACUCGGCACAGUGGAGGUCUCACAAGGCACCAGGAGUAAAGCAAUAGGCAAGGCUAUGACAGCACACCCGAAUCCCAGGACCCGGGGAUAAGUCGUAUCUUAGGAAUAUCUGCCCAUGAAGGCAGUGGGCCGCAGGAUCCCACUUUGAGGUGCCAGUGCUGAUUGUCAUUCCUUCCAAGAUGCAUCCUCCUGGGACAUACAGCGAUGGCCCCCACACCUGGAAGGACUCAAGCUCUGAAUCCAGCACCUUCAGGAAGCAAGUGAUGGCAUCCCAGAGGCCCUAUGCUUGAGACAGACUGACGAAAACAGGUGGAUCUAGGUAAAAUCAGUCUCUGCUACCCUCCUCAUCUAAACCCUCAGUGCAGGGCCACCUUGGAAGCCAUGUGUUAACACUGAGUGAUCCUCCUCAGCCAAGUCCCUAAUGCAUGGAAAAGAACCUCCUGACCCAGUCCCCAAAGGCUGGACUUUUCCUUUGCAAGAAAUAAGGAGGGUAAAGUUCACCAUAAAUAACAAAGUCAUGGAGUCAAGCUGUCACAAUUGGCCACCGUUCCUAAGGCAUUUGAAUUGUAUGCAUUGACAGGAAAAAGCAGGAAGGAGUGAAGACAGAACAAGGGGAGAAUGUAACCUGAGUUGGAAGGUGUAAUAUUUAAAUGUAUUUGCAAACCUGUUUUGGGCCAAAAGGGGUAGGAGGAAGAGAAGACGCAUUUGCUGAGAUCUAUUAUAUGCCAAUUGGAGGACUACAGAUUUCACAAUUCACAUCUGUUGUCUUAUUUCUUUCUCAUAAUCCCAAAGAUAAUUCUAAAGUUACACAUUAUCAUCUCCAUUUACAAUUAAGAACUGAUGCUCCAAGAAGAAAGAUCUCACAGUGUGUAGGCAACAGACCUAAGAUUCAAACCUAUAUUGGUGGGUGUUAAUGUCCUUGUUCUUUCUGAUGUAAGCAUGUAACAUUUCCACAUCUCUGAUUCCAUGCUCAAGGUGGGCCAAGCCAUGCUGCUUGUAAGACAGGGUGCCUGUGAUGACACAAGUCAUUAAUGCAAGUGUUAAGUGCCAUGCAAGCACAGAAGCCACUUAAAAUGGGUUUUCGGAAAUGAAAGCUGGGCUCAAACAGAGCCCACUUUCAAGGGGGCCUGGUUUAAGUGGCCAAACUCUCAAGAAGAAAGGCAUUAAAGGAAGAGCCUUUCUGCUGGGCUGGCAAAACUUUAGGUUCAUGAAUUCAGGAGGAGACUGAGGAGGAGAAAACAGGGUUUUAGAAUGCAGCCUCAGGAGCUGCCUGCACCUCUCAGGCCAGGAGGUUGGCUUUUCCAAUUGUGCGAUUAAGCUAUUCUACCCAGCCCCACCUCUCAUUUUCAAUUAAUCUGCACUAAUGAAUUCAACAACCAAAAUGCAUUUGCUAAUUGAGGUGCUUGCUGGCCAGGUCAUCCGCGCUCCCUUGUCUAACAGCUGGUACUCCCCACUGUGCCACGGUAAAGUAGGGUAGUAGAGGCCUCUGCUCCCCUCAUCCCCUGCUGCCCCUGAGGGGAAUACCCAGUGGGCAAGAAAAGGCCCAGCCUGGGAGAGAAUGCUCAUAAUAUAUUACUAAGUCACAGACAGAAAUUGCUCCUCCGGGCAGUCUUUCACUUUUUGUUUCUAAGUGAAAGCUCAUGACCAUCCCAGCCAUAUUAUCUCCCUGGCCCUUGGAAGCUGUUAUGUAAUGGAAAGGGCAUUAAACUCAGGCCAGGAAAUUCUUGAUACAGAACCCAGACUGUUGUUGAUAACUGGGUUGACUUUGGAAAGUGACUGCCUCCCUCCCUCUCGG
rnacentral:lncRNA from 1 species